CUCAGGUCUCGUCUCAAAGAACUGCAGCACCUCAUCGCACUGAGAGAUAUACGGGGGCAGCUGGAUCAGGGCCUGGAGGAGAGACACAAAUGGCUCACAGUGGCUAUUUUGUAGCCAAAAAGGGAAAAGAAGAAGAAGAAGAAAAACAAAACAACCCAAAGGGAAGACAAGAGACACAGGGGAAGUGUUGGCAUUUCUUAGACCUACCUUACAGUAUUCAUCAAUUGGGAUCAGGCGUUUGACGGCAACGUCCCUGAUGUGGCUUCGUCGGAAGAGAAUUUUUCCUGCAGGAAAUGAAAGCACAAGUGACACUGCAGGCAGGCAAGGACAAGUUCCUGGCAGUCUUGGAGGGUGUGGAUGUAGCCACCUCUGCUCACGUGCAUGGCUUGAGGGAGUGGCACCCACUAGGCAAGUUCUGGUGAGAUAAGGGAGGCUGGACCGAUCCUGUGGAAGGAAGGGGCUCCUACCAGAUGAAGAAGGAAGGUCGGAUCUGAAGAUCCAACUCCAGGAUUCUCAGAUGGGCUUAGUUUGUUAGGACCUGUCUCCAGUGGGUCAUCGUCCCACUAACUCAUCGUCCACCACAGCAGAACUGGAAGGUGGCUCAGGCCCUGGGCUGCAGGGCAGAAGCAUGUGACCAGCACCUCCGUGACCGGUGGCUCCGAGUGAAAUGCCAAUUGGGCCACGGCCCCGUCUCUGCACCUGAAAUCUUCUGCGUGAGCUGCAGGGAUGGAGGGUGAGCCUGUGCCUUCCCCAGCAGGCCAGCUGUCCGGAGUGGAAAGGGUGCUCGGAGGAGAGCACAGCCUCUGGUGGGAAUGGGCAGGCUUUUGUUUUCCACAGCAGUGGAAGGCCAAACUGAGACUUGCUUUUGUUCUGCUGACGGGGCAGUCCUGGCAGAAAACUGCGCCGGAGGACAGGGGAUGCGUCUCCGUGUUUCCCUGCCGUUGGCCUUGGCUUCGAGGAAAAGCCAAGAGGACUCCGAAAUAUGAACAUCAAGAGGUUCCAAAGGAAUAUCCCAGGAUCCUGGUUCUGACUCUGACAGAGAACCCACCGUGACCAAGGGCGAGGAGCUUGUGAAACAGGAGCCACUGUCCCAUUUUAUAGAUGUAGAAACUGAGGCUCGGGGGCAGGGGGAUGUCAUCUGCGGGAAGUCACAGAACUGGGCCUGCUGGACCUUCAGGCACACACAGUGGAGCGCUGACAUGUUGCUGCCGCAGUUGGUACACUGGGUUUUCUCCGAUAGGAAAUAAAAAUUCCAGUGAGAUUGCACACUUUCUCCGUGGAAGAACUAAAAACAUUAGUUAAGGCAAAUGA